AAAUGAUUUAGAUUAUUUAGACAGUUUGUAUAUUCAUUCACUUGAGGUAUUUUUUGUGAUUGUCUUUGAAUUGAGUUUUGGCUUCAGCCUGUUAUGCAACAAAGCAAGAAUUAAACUGAACGCAAAACAUUAACUUUGUGUUGUUUACAAACUUGACAAAUGGCAGUAAGCCAUGUUAUUGUAUUUUUGUAAAGUUUCCCUUUAGGUGACAAAGCGAGGCUGAAGCAGUGGCUGGUGAACACAAGACGGCAGGACUGGAAACCAACAGGAUCAUCACGUCUUUGCAGUGCUCAUUUUGAAGAGCAUGCCUUUACUGUGGACUCAAAGGUUAAAUUAUUUCUUUUUUAAUGGACAGCAAUUUUUAUGAAGUUCACAUUUGCAACAAUUUAUUGUUAAAUUGACUUUGAAUCAUAAAAUGGCGGUUAUUUAAACAUUCCCAAGAGCUGAACACUACAACUAUCGUGGUUCCAUUUUAAAUUACUGCUGUUUUUAUGUUUUCUAAAAUUAGGUAUUUGCAUGUAGUUGUAGUGUCUGCUACCAUCUACUGGUCAUUAUUAGUUAGUGUUAUCAGUCAUUUUCAGUUUAAGUUGGCGCAGCCUGGAGUAAAAAAAACAGGAAUCAUAUUGCAAAAAAAAUUUGAGUGAUACCACAUGAACAACUUCUUAUGCUUAGACCAAAUGUGCCCUGUUAGAUAAAGGUAACAGCACUAGCCAAGUAGUAGUCUCUAAGAAUGCUAACUAAAUGAAACCUUUUAAAUAAUUGGACAAGUAUAUCAAAACCUCUAAAGUUUUCAUGCUGAGCUACCACCUGGUUUGAGACAUAAGUGUCUUAAUGAAUUUAAGUACUGGUAUUCACAAUUUAAUUGAUGAAUUUCUUUGUGUUUUUCAGACUUCAUCACCAACCACUGAUGAUAUGGUGGAUUCAUCUGCUGCAGCCUGUUUCCUUUCCACCCAGUGCAACUCCCAAAGUACUAGAUUAUAUCUUUUUAAGUUCCUGGUAAAAUA
rnacentral:lncRNA from 1 species